AGUUGCCCAGCCAAGUGCUACUUUUCUUGGGAAAUGUUCUAUUGUGUUCUUCUUUGUGUAACUUCAUACCUGUUCUUAACCAAAAAGUAGAGAACGCCCCGUCGAUCCGGUCUGGCUACCUGCUGUACAAGUUUCAACUCACGCAAGUCCAGAGUUAUAUGGUUUCUUUGCUCUAACAUUAGCUAGGACUUGCGACUUUUCAUCUGAAACGGAAGUUUAUAUUUUGUAUACAUAUUACAUAUAAUAAGGCAUUUCUUGCUGGUUAUGAUAUUUUUAUAACAUUGCGGGGGGGUCCUAAAAAUAUAAAUAUCAUAUAAACAUCA